rnacentral:tRNA from 1 species
AAAAUCCGUCGACUUAAAAAUCGUGAGGGUUCAAGUCCCUCUACCCCCA